UCGCUGGUGGUCCAGUGGGUAAGACUCUGCAUUCCCAGUGCAGGGGGCCUGGGUUCGACCCCCCGUCAGGGAU
rnacentral:tRNA from 1 species